UCACCAAUCAAGCCACGCUUGGUAUUGGAUGCGGCCUGGCCCCCCGUGGCCGGGCCGCCCGAAAUGCAUCGGCGAGGACACCGACCCCCGGCGUGUUAAGAAUCUCACAGUUCGUGACGUCGGGAGCACCGGUCGACCUCCGCCGUGAAACUUGUCAUCAAGUUGACCUCGGAUCAGGUAGGAAUACCCGCUGAACUUAA
rnacentral:misc_RNA from 1 species